GACCCUGGUCUUAUUGUAUAGGAGUUUUUGAAAAAUAAAGGAGCAAUAAUUCCCUUCUUCUUCUAUAUAAGAUAGAUAAGAGGGCUUUAUUGCUCCUUUAUUUUCUUUUUAUUUAUUCUAGUAUUUUAUUAGUACUCGGAUUUAAAUAUGGAUGUUUUUUUUUUAAACAAAAGCAAAGAAAAUGUUCGAAACGAAAUUUUUUAAUUUAAAUAUUAAAUAAAUAUAAUAUGAAAUUAAAAAAAAAAUCUAAAAAAUUAGAAUAGAGGGCGGAUGUAGCCAAGUGGAUUAAGGCAGUGGAUUGUGAAUCCACCAUGCGCG
rnacentral:misc_RNA from 1 species